AUAAAUGGUCUAUGGCUCUAUAGGUCUAUAGAAAUGGCUUCCUGAGCCAAAGAAAUAGCCCAAAUGAGGGUCUUUCUUGAAUUUGCCUUAGAGGCAAUAUGUCUAUUUAUGGCUUGAUGCUUUCCGAAAAUGGACCAUUCACCAGCAACCUCGUUUGGAUCACACGAAACACAAUACAACUUGGAGGUUCAUCUGUCCUGCAGAAGACACACCAAACUUCUGCAUGAAGAUCCAGACCUCGACAACACAUUUACCACUAUGUCACAGACUAAGGUCAGAAAUACCUAUUCUUGCAGCAGCAAAAGGUGAAGUCAAUUCAUACCAGUACAAGUAUCCAACACACCAUUUAGGUUUUGCACAACCAUGAAACUAUUAAGAUGGUAUCUUAAAACGAAGAAAGACAUCUUCCUUCAUUACUGAACGGUGCAACAAGAGCGAGAGAUAAAGAGAUAGUUCUUCCUCUCUCUCUCUCUCUCUCUCUCACACACACCAAUUAGCACACACGGUAUAGUUAUCGGAGGCAAGUCAAUUGUCUACUGUUUCAUGUACUAAAACAUAGCAAGUGUGAUGUACCUAUUAAUAUACUAUGAAUAUUGUGUAAUGUACUUUGUGCUUCUAUCGUGUUAAUACAAAAACCUAUGUUGGAGGGCAUCA